UACGUAGGGGGCAAGCGUUGUCCGGAAUCAUUGGGCGUAAAGCGCGCGUAGGCGGCCCGGUAAGUCCGUUGUGAAAGUCAAAGGCUCAACCUUUGAAUGCCGAUGGAUACUGCCGGGCUGGAGUCCGGAAGAGGCGAGUGGAAUUCCUGGUGUAGCGGUGGAAUGCGCAGAUAUCAGGAGGAACACCGAUAGCGAAGGCAGCUCGCUGGGACGGUACUGACGCUGAGGCGCGAAAGCGUGGGGAGCGAACAGG
rnacentral:rRNA from 1 species